UACAGAGGUCCCAAGCGUUGUUCGGAUUCAUUGGGCGUAAAGGGUGCGUAGGCGGCGCGGUAAGUCGGGUGUGAAAUCUCGGGGCUUAACUCCGAAACUGCAUUCGAUACUGCCGUGCUUGAGGACUGGAGAGGAGACUGGAAUUCCUGGUGUAGCGGUGGAAUGCGCAGAUAUCAGGAGGAACACCGAUGGCGAAGGCAGGUCUCUGGGCCAUUACUGACACUGAGAAGCGAAAGCAUGGGGAGCGAACAGGA
rnacentral:rRNA from 1 species